AAGCUCGUAGUUGAAUUUCGGGAUUAAUUUAUUGGUCGUGCAAUAGUACGUACUGGUAUUAUUGAUUCCUACCUUCUGACGAACCAUGAUAUCAUUAAUUUGGUGUCUUGGGGAAUCAGGACUGUUACUUUGAAAAAAUUAGAGUGUUUAAAGCAGGCUCACGCUUGAAUACAUUAGCAUGGAAUAACGAAAUAGGACGUUUGAUUCUAUUUUGUUGGUUUCUAGGAUCGACGUAAUGAUUAAUAGGGAUAGUUGGG
rnacentral:rRNA from 1 species